AUGAGGUCUACAUGCCAUCAAUAGGUUGCUAGCACUGCCGAAAUUUGUUGCUCCGUGGCAACGCACGGGUAUUCAGCUAGUAGCGCUAAGUCGCUAACAUCCCAUGGUGAGAGGCCGUCCGCUGGGAGACCUAGCCCCAUUGUGCGCUCACCCGAUCCCAUCCACCGCUGGCCACCAGGGAGAGGAGCUUCCGCUUGAGCGCCUGCGUCCCAGAGUCGGAGCCCGCCGGAUCUCCUCGCCCCACCGCCGCCCCGCGCGCCACCGGGGAGCACGCUGGCGAGCGUCGUCGCCCUUCCGCCACCGGCCUGGGCGAUCCAUGGCUCGCGGACGGAUCAGGAGCGCCGCCUGGCGUGUACGACCAGGCUGAUGAGGGACCAAGCCAAGGAGCGGAGUCAGGUUGGGAGGGCGCCCGGUGGGCUGCGGGAGCAGGGGAGGGCGGGACGGCCGGCAGCGCUGCUGGUUUGGGAAUGCUUUGAUCUGGUGAUGCUAGAGCACGUGCACAUGGGGACACGCCGCAGACCACCACCGCCUUGUGAUUGAGUGCAUCAAUGGGAGGAUGGCCCAUGGAGGGUUGGUCACGACACUCACAAUGAAUGCAACGGCAACGAACUCCUCUCGCAGCUCGGCACUCGGCAGUGCCACCGGACAAACCAUGGUUUAGUCAUUUUCAACUUCUAUGGUGGAAAUGAUUUGAGGAUUAAUUGGAGGAAUGUCUCGGAGUUGUUUUAGAAUCUUGAAGGGAUCAAGAGCGGAUAGUCAGAGGUAAUGCAUCAUUUGCUCUUGGUCAGUUUGCUGAACACGUGCAGCCAGAAAUUUGAUCUCACUAUGAGAGUGUAGUUCCAUGCAUCUUAAAUGCAGUUGAAGACCCAUCAGAUGGGGUUAAGGAGAUAUCAUAUUAUGCAUUGGUGGUUUUCUGUGAAGACAUGGGUGAAGAUAUCCUACCAUAUCUGGAACCUUGGAUAUGCAGAUUACUUAUGUCUUUGCAGGUUCAGUCCUCGAAAUUCUGUUGAGACUAACGCAGGGCAGCCUGAUAAGGAGGAAAAGAUUAGAAAUGACAUGCCAUGGCAUCCAUAGUGAGGUGUGAUGUUUCCAAUAUGAAGGCCAAAUAGAAGGGAGGAGAUAACAAUCGGAUCGAUUCCAAUAUGCGAACUUCCAAACAUGGGUGAAGGGAGGAGAUAACAACGUUAGGGUUGGCUCUAUUGGUUUGAUGUUGCAGAUUUAUUAGUUGUCAAUGAUCACCCACACAUAACAAUCGGACUCGAUUCCGAUAGCAAGCGCGCCCGAGCGCUGUUCGUCCACCUCUAGCAGUUUUUUCUUGUUUCACCUUAGCCUUCAUAGUCCCUCAAGGAAAUUAUUACUGAACUUUGACAAUGGCAUCUUUUCACUUUUGUGAACGACACUUGAUUAUCUCUUAGUAAUAGUUCUUUACUAAAUUUUGUUGAUACAUAAGUGGAU